GUAUUAACUUGUUAUAAUUCAAACGUUCCAAUAACAAAUGAUAAUGUUUAUAAUGAAUAAGUUCACAAGUGUUAAAUGAUGAGUGGACUUGUAUCAACUAAAGCGAGCACUGAUGUUAACAAAGUUAACCAGCUCAACUCUAAUCUAACAAUUAAAAACUCGUUAAUGAUCCUUCCGCAGGUUCACCUACGGAAA
rnacentral:misc_RNA from 1 species